AAACUUAUAACUGUAAAAAUUACCAGGUUUUCUAAUUUGAUGACACAUGGAAACUUGAUGUAUGCAGAAGUAAUUGAUAAAGUGUUUUCCUGCUGGAGCAACAAGUUAAAUGGAAACUGUGACACAGAUCAUAAGUUGAGCAAAACUAUUUUAGGAGUAUUGGACUUCAUAUAUUCCUUUGUAUUACUUGAACAAGGGAAAAACAGCAUGACUAUAUAAACUCUGUAAUCUGCAAAACAAUUUUGUAGUUUUGAGUGGCAGAAAUGUCUUAAAAACACUGCUUGCUGAAAAUUCUUGUGAUUUUUGUAGCCUUGACAUUAAUGAUACAGCUCUUAAAGAGUAUUUUAGCUGAAAAGCCUUGCCUGACAUCUUUAUAAAAAUACAUAGCUUCAAUGAGAGUCUCUUGUCUAGAUUUGGAGAAAAACCAAACAGCGCUGUUGAAUAAGUGCCAAUACUAAAAUUGAUCAGAAAAUCUACAUAACUGAUAAGAUUAUGACUUGUACCAAUUUAAUAUUAAUUUAUUGUUAACAUUUAUGAAACUUAUAGACUGAAAUGGUAUGAACUACAGUAGUAGCUGCCACUGUGGUAUGAAAUAUUCAUAAACAACUGGGAAGGUUUGAAUUUACACUCCUGAGGAGCUUGAUCUGCAUAAGAGAUUAUAAUACAGAUUCUUUGAGCAAAUUUACCACAGAUAUUUAAUUGUUUCACUGGACACAGCUAGGCUUUAGAAAGGACAAAAGGAUUGUUUUCUAGACAUGGAUAAGCAAUAAGUAACCAGCUGCUUUCCAGAGAGAAGUGGAAUUAAAUUGAAAGGAGUAAAAAUUAUCAACCUCUUUGCAGUUGUGAUUCCUGAAUUACUGAUAUCAGUUUAGUGUCCACAUCAUUCAUCUCCUAUUGUUUGGUUUUGAAUUUGCAUUUUUUCCUAACAGAAAACAAUUUUCUGAAAAACUAAGUGAAUUCAUAUGAAUUAUUUUACUAAUGACAGGAAAAAAAUGUGGGAUGGGAGUCAUUCUUCUUACUUUAUAAAUAUGCUUAUUUUUCUGGUCUGGCAUUAAAACUUGAAAAUUAUUCAGAUAUGCUUUUAAGAGUCAAAUUCCCCUUUAGUAGAGUAUCUCAAUAAUAGAUCAUAUAUAUAAACUCAAGAUGGUUUACAUUUUAUACUAAUAUCUUUUCCAUUUUUAAUGCAGACAUCUAUGUGGGAUGCCUACCAUAUGUAUUACCUCAAAUCAGUUGGUGUCCACAUGGUGAGGACUAAGUGAACCAUGUUACAAUGCAAAAAGAAAUAGAUAAGUUAAAAUAUUUUUAGAAGUUUGGAUAUAUAUUGGCUGGGAUCCCUGUAAAAAGGUAUGCAUCUAACUUGACAGAUAGUGCUACUCUCUGGUUUUAAGGUGGUGGAAAAGUACUUUGAGCCAUGCUACUGCAGGUAAGGCUUGUACCCAAUUUCUACUUUAUUUACAGGGCUUUUUAAAAAGAUAUUAAUAAGUUUACUGUACAAAACCUACAGUUAUAUGGGGGUGGAGAAUUGGACUGAGUGUAACCACAUUCAGUAAAGUUAAGUAAUGAAAACCAAACGCAGCUAACGUGCUGUUCUGGGGUAGGCAGAAGAAAAGAUACUAUAAACAUAUUUUAUUUAACACAUGAGUACAUUAAAAUUUAGUAUUGCUUUUCACUGCAGAAAUUCUAGGGCCUGGUAUUAGUAUUUAGAGCUGUAUAGUAACCAUUUAAUGCUAUAAUUUUAAGUGUGUAUCUUUCUUUUACCUUAGCGUAAGAAAAAUCUAUGUUUAUCAAUUAUGUGUCUAAAUGAUAUUUAAUGAAGUUUAUAAGUCUUGGAGAAAUAAUAGGUUAAUAUUCUUAUGCUUAGAUAGGUGCCCAUAAAAAGAAUUUCCAUGGGUUUCUUCCUGCCUUUAGCCAAAGCAAUAUCUCUGUGUUGUGUUAUUUUCCUUUCAGUAAUUCCUGAUGCAGGAAUAAUAGGAUAAACAUGACAGAGAGUGCUGAUCAAAAACUUGUGCCUCUUAACAGGGCUUAGCUUUGCAGGGUCUGUUUCUUUGUUUAACCCCAGCAUCAUAAAGAGCAUGAAAUCACAGGUUUGGAGAUUAAUUACUUGAAGAGAUCUUCCUGUGUUGCAGAAAUGCCUUUGCAGGUCUCCAGUACUUUAUCUUGGUCCAAGUUACAAUAUCUCGGUAUCCCAGUGGCAUCUCAGGUCAUUCCUGGAGUCCCUGUCAUUACCAGUGCGUUCUUGUUCUUCUGUAGAGAAUUAAUGCAAAAUGAAAAUUAAGGAUGAUUGUUUAGUGUCAAAUGGUUUUUGAAAGGAUUUUGCAUCUUUUGAGCUCAGUUAGUUAGCUGGCUGGCUGGUUGUUUAAAAUCUGCAUUUUUAAACUGACUGUUGACCAAAAAACAUUUUAAAAUAGCAGAUCAAUCUGUAAUGCAUUUACUUGAACAAGAAUUUCUUAAAUUUCUCAGGAGUUAUCCUUCAUCUACCUGGAUCCCCUGCUGUAUUUUAGGAAGAGUUUAUUCACUCACUAAGACAGUGGUUUUUUUCAACAUUUUAAAAACCAGUAACCAGAAUGCAGUUCUGCUUACUGCAGCUGAAGUCUGUUGCAGCAUUUCCUACAGCCUGUCUCUAGCAAGCAGUGGUUAUGUUAAUAUCUGAUGACAUUUAGGGCUAAUUUACACCAAUACACAAGCCAGAUUCCAUGUCUAACAUUUUAGAUUCUGGAAAAGGAAAUUCUGGGCUCUUUAACAUUCUAGAAAAGCAAUGUGUUGUUCGUUCUUGCAGUUCUUCAGAUCCCUAAAGCCUCUGUAACAGAAUUUUCUCUGAAGGAGGAAGCCAGUGGAGCAUCUGUAAACUUUUCUGUGUGGCAUGACUAGUCCCAGGCUGGUGUUCUGUCGUUGGUGUUCUCUCUGUAGCUGCAGAGGAAUGCAAGUAGGCUUGCUACCUGCCCUGGGGAGAACAGAGCAGUUGGAAACCAGAGCAUGACCCAUUGUACUCUCCUGAAUCCCCUCCCAGACAGUUCCUUUAAACCCUUUAAGAUUACAAAGAGAGAAGUUAUACUUGAUUCACUGCUCAGACCAGUGCUGCACUUUAUCUCCUGUGUAUUUGCUUUUAAAAACUUUUUUGUGGCUAAACUGUUAAAGAUAGCAUUGUGGAGGCUCUCAGUUCAGCCAAAGAGAGAACAGAGGAUUCCCCCAGGCUUCAGGCCUGGAAAACUUGGAGAGAAAGAAUUUAAACAAUUGUUAUAUCUCUUUCUGUUCAUGUUGUUUAUAGGUAUGUUCUACCACAGUGUGCUAUUCAUGGAUCACCAUUGGUGUGAAAGGUUUUUACUUUGACAUCAAUGAAGUCUCACUUUAGCAAUCCUAGUUAUAAAAACACACUACUUCUUAAAAAUAAGCCCUCUUUUUCACCUUCUGUAAUUUAAAAUAGUUUCAUCCCAUUGCUAACUCAACAACAUUAAAUGUGGCUAAGUUCUGUCUCUUGUUCUAGUGCUGAGUUACUAAUGUUGUCCCAGAUGACAGCAGGUCUGUUUUUUCCUGUGGUUCUCUUCUUCAAGUGCAACUAUCAGAAUACCAUUAACAGGAGUCAAGAGCAUUAGAUGAAGCAGAUCAAAAUGGACAACAUGACAUGCCAGCAUGGAUCAGGAAGGGGACAUCCUGAAACAAGAAGCCACAAAGUAUGUAAAACAAUGUGCUUCAGAUUAGACUUUUCUAAAUGCCCUUCAUCACAGCAGUGCUGAAUGUUCUGUCUGGCAGUUCAUAUUGAGCUGUCUUUGAAAUUCGAGUGAUGUACAUGAUCCUUAAAUAUGGGCCAGUUGGGUACAUCAGUACUGACUGUUCAUAAACCCAAAGCAAACACAUCAUUCAUCUUCUAUUAGUUUUUGUCAAGUUAUAGAGAACAGCAAAAGUUAUCUGUAGCAUAGGAGUAUAAAUCCACAGUCUUCACCAAAUUUCCUUUUGUAGAAUUUUCUGGACAGGGCCAAGUAAUCCAAAUAAUCAGAGCACUAAUUUGUUAUUUUUUUCUCUUGGCAUAUUCAUUUUUUUUUCAUUACAGAUAUACAGAAAUUUAUUAUCUGUAUUUUUAAGUACCAAAGAUGAUAGCCAUAAAAGUUUUGAAAAACUUAAUUUUGAACAAUUUUCCAAUUUUUCUAUGUCAAGAGUUAAUGAAAUUUAUUAUUUAAAUGAUUCCAUUUUAUCUAAGAUACAGGUAAGGUAGACAUUUUUGUAUACCAGGAAUUGUAGGAAAAGACUGAAUGCAACAAAUAUAAUUUGUAAUAAUGUACUGGAUUACAAAUUAUAGCUGUAUUACUAAAAA